UUAUAAAUUUUUCAAACAGUUUUUAUUAAGUUUAUAAAUAUUGGUUACAAUAAUAAUCCAUUCGAAAAUCUAAUAAAAUCAUAUCAAUGGGUUGGUUGGGGAAACCAGGAAGAUCAAAAGAUGUUAUCAGAAUUCAAAUAUAAUUGCACAUGGAAUGGAUUUGCAAAGAAAUACCUCUAUUAUAAUUUAGCUCUUAUCUUUGUUAACAGUGGAACUAUGAUACAUUUUAAUGUUGAAAGUUGGUGCACAGAAUAUAUUUCAAAAUUGUUUGCAACCGACAUUGAGAUUGAGGAUAAAUGAAGAUAUCAAAACCAUUAAGAGUAAACCAAAAGACAAUAAGAAACUUUUUAAUUUUUGUUAAUAAACAUAAAAAUUUAAUUUAAUUAAUUAUCUUGUAUUUUAAAAUAAAUAACAUUUACAAUUCAUGGAA